rnacentral:misc_RNA from 1 species
CGGGUACUGCCCGGCACGAGCUUAGCGAAAAUCCCUGAGGCGAUUCUUCAUCCAUGGGAGCUGUCCCUGAUCGGAUCCUGGUCUGAUACACAUGGCCCCCACCUGACGUACCUGGCGUCAGUGGAUAUUCCGGAAAACGACCAUGGCGGUCCCGCC